rnacentral:rRNA from 1 species
UACGGAGGGGGCUAGCGUUGUUCGGAAUUACUGGGCGUAAAGGGCGCGUAGGCGGCCGCCUAAGUCAGACGUGAAAUCCCUCGGCUCAACCGGGGAACUGCGUCUGAUACUGGGUGGCUUGAAUUCGGGAGAGGGUAUGCGGAAUUCCAGGUGUAGCGGUGAAAUGCGUAGAUAUCUGGAGGAACACCGGUGGCGAAGGCGGCAUCCUGGAC